UACGUAGGGUGCAAGCGUUGUCCGGAAUUAUUGGGCGUAAAGAGCUCGUAGGCGGUCUGUCGCGUCGGCUGUGAAAACCCGAGGCUCAACCUCGGGCCUGCAGUCGAUACGGGCAAACUAGAGUACUGCAGGGGAGACUGGAAUUCCUGGUGUAGCGGUGAAAUGCGCAGAUAUCAGGAGGAACACCGGUGGCGAAGGCGGGUCUCUGGGCAGUAACUGACGCUGAGGAGCGAAAGCGUGGGGAGCGAACAGGAUUAGAUACCCGGGUAGU
rnacentral:rRNA from 1 species